GUUUGGGUGAUGACUUAAGAAUUUGUCGGAUACCCCUUCACUCUUACUGAGUGACAACAGCAGUCUGACAAAC
rnacentral:snoRNA from 1 species